GGGUUGUGAGGUUAAGCGACUAAGCGUACACGGUGGAUGCCCUGGCAGUCAGAGGCGAUGAAGGACGUGCUAAUCUGCGAAAAGCGCCGGCGAGGUGAUAUGAACCUUUGACCCGGCGAUGUCCGAAUGGGGAAACCCAGUGUGAUUCGUCACACUAUCGUUAACUGAAUACAUAGGUUAACGAGGCGAACCG
rnacentral:rRNA from 1 species